AACGAACGCUGGCGGCAGGCUUAACACAUGCAAGUCGAGCGCCUCGCAAGAGGAGCGGCAGACGGGUGAGUAACGCGUGGAAAUCUACCCAUCUCUACGGAAUAACUCAGGGAAACUUGUGCUAAUACCGUAUACGCCCUGUGGUGGACAGAUUUAUCUGAGAUGGAUGAGCCCGCGUUGGAGUAGCUAGUUGGUGAGGUAAAGGCCUACCAAGGCGACGAUCCAUAGCUGGUCUGAGAGGAUGAUCAGCCACAUUGGGACUGAGACACGGCCCAAACUCCUACGGGAGGCAGCAGUGGGGAAUAUUGGACAAUGGGCGCAAGCCUGAUCCAGCCAUGCCGCGUGAGUGAUGAAGGCCCUAGGGUUGUAAAGCUCUUUCACCGGAGAAGAUAAUGACGGUAUCCGGAGAAGAAGCCCCAGCUAACUUCGUGCCAGCCGCCGCGGUAA
rnacentral:rRNA from 1 species